rnacentral:pre_miRNA from 1 species
UGCAUUACUUACUCGGUGCUGAGAUUUUGUCACACCACACCACAAGGACUGAUGAGACUCCCGAGAUAAGUGGAGCG